UUACUUUUUAAUUAUAAUAACUGCUUUUAUAUAAAUAAAGUACUAUGAUUCGCCAGUGGAAUAUUAAACUAAGUAAGAAUUUUUGAUCGAUUAUAACUGGCAAGCAUUAGACAAGAUGAUCAGUCAUAAUAAGCAGAUAGUUGGAUUAGAUGGUCAGUCUUAAUUAAUAGAAGAAUCAUUUUUUCAAAUCCGAGUUUUCUGCGUGCCGACAGGAUUCAUCAGUCUUUAAAAACUGCGUUUUAGUAUAAUUGCUUUUAUUUUUAUAAUCUACACUUGGUCGUCGACUUACGACCGACUUCCGUUCUGACUGACAGGUCGUAAGUCGAUCUGGUCGUAUGUCGGCCAUAUAAUUAUUAACAGUAUUUUUUAAUAUUUUUAUCAUCUUUAUAAUUUAUUUUUAUAAUCUUUUAAAUUUAUAAUUAUAUUGCACAUAAUGUGAAAAAUAAUACUGUACAUACUGUACUGUAAACACAAAAAUUCAAUCUAAAAUGAAUGUAAAAAAUUUGAGUUUUCCUUGACUUCUUAGCUGGCGUAUCUGUAGAUGAAGCCAUUUUUCUUUUACUAGACAUUUUAUGGGUAGUAUUUCAGUAGAAUUUUAAUUAAUACACCACACGCAACAGAUGCUUGAAAGCAACUGAGUGUAUGUGAGAGAGAGAGAGAGAGAGAGAGAGAGAGAGAGAGAGAGAGAGAGAGGAUACCUGCGUGUUGUGUUCUUCGUGUUAUCGUGCGCGCAGCUGUCUGAUGUAUUAUUGUUUUUUUGGUCGUAAGUGCGGACCGUCGUAAGUCGCAUAGGUCGUAAGUCGACGACUAAGUGUAUAAGAUUAUGCUAUUUUGAGACUCGUAUCUGGUGCCUGCUUGUAUACUGCGGACUUGUAUAUUGAUAUUUUAAAUCUUCACAAAAAUCCUGAAUUCUGGCCAAAACCAGACAGAGUUUUGCCGGAGCUGGUAUAAGAUCGUCAUCCUUUCGCUUAUGUAGCGCUGGUUCACGGAAUUGCAUAGGUCAAUAAUUCGUCAUGAUGGAGCUGAAAAUUGUAAUUGGUACUUUGCUACAACUUUUACUUGGAGCCCUCACUUGAAAGACGUCCGAUGUUUUAUCGAUAUAGUCAUUCGCCUUCGACAAUCGAUGCGCGUAAAAUUCGUCUCAAUCGAAGAUGUUCAAUUAGUAUAACGGAAUGCGAAUUAUACGUGAAAACCUGAUGAUAAGAAAUGACGAAUUUAUUAAACGAGCAUUAUUGUAUUACUUCAGUAGUAUCACAAGAUAGAUAUUGCACAAUAUUAGUCGUAACUUAUGGUUUACUUACUGAUUUAGGAAAAUCUUUUUGUUUGCUUUAAGCUUGUAAGUCAGACAUUUCUUCGAGUAGUGCAGAGAGUGCUGUGUCGAGAAGUGUAGCUUAGAGCAGCCCAUACAGCAAAGAAUAUGCUAAGAAUGUGUUAAAAAUAUGUUAUAAAUAUUCUAAUAUUCGAUGGGUCAUUGAGAAUAUUCUAUAGACGUUCUAUGAAUAUUCCGUGGAAUUUUGUUCAUUCAGAAUAUGCAUAUAAUAUUCUAUAAAUAUUCCAAUAAAUAUAGUAUAUAUCGCAAUUGCCUGGAAUGUUCUAUAAAUAUUUUGACAAAUACAGAAUAUUUCGAAAUAUUUGAAAUAUUCAUAGAACAUAUUGUAAAUAUUCUUAAAGUAUUUAUAGUAUGUGCUAUGAAUAUUCUGAAAAAUUUUAUAUAACUUGCUAUAAAUAUUUCGAUAAUAUUCUAUGAUACAUUUCGAUUCACAUGGAAUAUUCAGAAUAUGAUUAUAAUAUUCUCUAGAUAUUAGUAGAACGUUCUUAGAAUGUUCUAUAAACAUUUUAGGAAAACAUUGAAAACAUUUUGAUUAUUUCAGGAAUAUUUAAAGAAUAUUCUUGAAACAUUCUAUGAAUAUUCUGGAAACAUUAAUAAACACUUUUUAAAAAUA
rnacentral:lncRNA from 1 species